rnacentral:rRNA from 1 species
GAUCAUGGCUCAGAACGAACGCUGGCGGCAUGCCUAACACAUGCAAGUCGAACGAGACCUUCGGGUCUAGUGGCGCACGGGUGCGUAACGCGUGGGAACCUGCCUUUAGGUUCGGAAUAACUCAGAGAAAUUUGAGCUAAUACCGGAUAAUGUCUUCGGACCAAAGAUUUAUCGCCUUUAGAUGGGCCCGCGUUGGAUUAGCUAGUUGGUGGGUAAAGGCCUACCAAGGCGACGAUCCAUAGCUGGUCUGAGAGGAUGAUCAGCCACACUGGGACUGAGACACGGCCCAGACUCCUACGGGUGGCAGCAGUGGGGAAUAUUGGACAAUGGGCGAAAGCCUGAUCCAGCAAUGCCGCGUGAGUGAUGAAGGCCUUAGGGUUGUAAAGCUCUUUUACCCGAGAUGAUAAUGACAGUAUCGGGAGAAUAAGCUCCGGCUAACUCCGUG